CUUCUCUCCCUCUGGAAAUCCGCAGAAAAACCAUCUCCUUUCUCAUCUUCAUUCUUCUACCAUCUUCAUCUUCACCAUUCUUCCUUCAUCAAGAAGAAUCACCAAAGCCUAUAACAAAGUUUCUCUAUGCACUACUCUGAGAGCUUCAGCAUCAAUUCUUCACUUCUCAUCAUCAAUAUCUCCAUCAUCUUCUGUAAAUCCAUCAACCAAAAUAUUCAAUUGUAACAUCAUCUUCAAUCUUCGAUCUCUCAAGAAUGCGUCAAUCUUCAACAUUAUCUUCAUCAUUCUCGUCACUGCAAACUGCAACAACCAGAACAUCAAUGACUCCACACUAAACUUUAACAUCAACAACAAGUUCUUUGCUACAUUAUCACUGCACAACAUUGCAAGAAUCAGAUUAAGAAUUCACACAUAG